UCCCCCCCUCCCUUUCUAGUAUAGUCUCACUAGCCUCGGGCGCUUUUAAAACUUGCCCUACUUUUUCAAGCUCAGUGAGUGACGGCAGUGACGCGUUGUUCACUGUAUACUUGACAUUCUUCCUGAAGCUUGCCUGAAAAAUCCAAUUAUCCAGGUGUGCAGUACACGACAUUGGGACUUCAAAGACAUCAAAAGGUUUUCUUCUAAUUAAAGUGUUAACCUUUUCACGACUUUGCGGGCAAGUUAUUGUUAUUGUUGUAUCUUCAGUAGUUGAAUAACCCCACCUCCUAUGGCCUAGAUAUACAGUUUGUUGGCCAAGCCAAGGUGACACAUGAGUCGUGCACUGGGUGCGACUACGGGCCUCGUCCUUAACAAACAAAGACAUUGCACACCCGGGUUCCCUGUGUUUCCGAUUAAUAGCGCUACUUAUCGGACAAAUUAAAGCCGGUGACAUUAAACAACGAAAUGCAUCGUCUGCUGAUAACUCUACAAAGGCUUGUCUAUCAGUUGCUACGACAAGAAAUGGUGGAAGAGGAUAAAAUUGUGCACCUUGUGUGGCAUUUUCUAUAGGGCGCGGCAAACUGAUUACUUUAUAGAGUGUAAAACGAAAAGGAAACUCAAAAACAGGUAAAUGAAUAAAAAUUCUAAGACCAUUAUUAACCGCAGCCACGACUACUUUAGCUUCAGUGUACACUUUCCAACAUCGCCCUUCUGGAUGGAUGGACUCAAGGACCAUCCUGACGGCAGCACAGAUUUAAUUUCUUUCAGGGCGGCUUGAACUUGCAGCGGGAGAAAAAGGGUAGCUGGUAGACGUUCCAUAGCCAUAACAGCCAAUCCAACGGCAAAGUUAUCCAACACCUCUUCGAUCCAUCCCACGGCGGACCCAAUUUGACGGAACGCAUCUCCAACUUUCGUGGCCUCUCGUUCAAUUUUUGCAAAAGCAAUCUGUAGCUCGGCUACGGCGUCGCCACUUGCCUUAGUCUCCCACAGCGUCUCGUUAAUGAGAGAAGCAUGAACUUCCAGGGCAUGCACAAUGGAUGUUGUCUCCGUCGAAAGCUUAUUGAUCCGGCCGUUCACGUGUUCGAGAUCUUCUUGGGUAGAGACCCCAAAAAGCCAGUUAAGAAGUCGACCUCCUCCAUCCACUAGGCCACGUUUCACUCUGGAGUCUUGCACACCGACGGCUGUUUUUAGUUCAUUCCAGCGCUGAUGAACCUUCCGCAAUUUCAACAAUUCUUCUUGUGCCCGUUCUUUCACAUGUUGUUGCAAUGCCUGUUUAAACUGUGAUUUAACUCCGGCGUAGUGAUCGGACAUGGUAUUCACUCGAAUGUCUAA